UACCGUAGGGUGCGAGCGUUGGUCCGGAAUUAUUGGGCGUAAAGAGCUCGUAGGCGGUUCGUCGCGUCGAAUUGUGAAAUCCCGGGGCUCAACUCCGGGUCUGCCAUUCGAUAACGGGCGGACUAGAGUUCGGUAGGGGAGACUGGAAUUCCUGGUGGUGACGGUGAAAUGCGCAGAUAUCAGGAGGAACACCGGUGGCGAAGGCGGGUCUCUGGGGCCGAUACUGACGCUGAGGAGCGAAAGCGUGGGGAGCGAACAGG
rnacentral:rRNA from 1 species